UACGUAGGGUCCGAGCGUUGUCCGGAAUUAUUGGGCGUAAAGGGCUCGUAGGCGGUUUGUUGCGUCGGGAGUGAAAACUUACAGCUUAACUGUGAGCGUGCUUCCGAUACGGGCAGACUUGAGGUAUUCAGGGGAGAACGGAAUUCCUGGUGUAGCGGUGAAAUGCGCAGAUAUCAGGAGGAACACCGGUGGCGAAGGCGGUUCUCUGGGCCAUUACUGACGCUGAGGAGCGAAAGCGUGGGGAGCGAACAGG
rnacentral:rRNA from 1 species